CCUACCAAAUAAAAAUAUUAUACUUCAUGGUUUCAGAUUUUAAACACCAAUUAAAAUCUCCAAAUGGACAUGUGCAAUGACAGAAGUGAACUAACUCAGGUAGUGUUUCUUCUUCUUUACAAAUGUUGGGCUGUCAUCGUCUAUUUUGAACUUACUCUUUAAAUGCUGGCAUAUGUCAUACUCCAGGGUUUUGGAAAAAUAAGCUAUGAGCUGAGAGAGCUUCCACAGUUUUAAACUGUGAAAAAUUUACCCUUGAAAUGAGUAUGGGUAGCUGAAUCCAUACAUGUUGGGACUGACUACUAAUGGAAGUUCUCUGAAUUAACUUCCUUGUAGAAUACAAUGUUUCUUAAAGGAUAAGUUAUGAAAAGCAUGCUAAUUUGAAGUUUACAUAUAUAUUAUUAAAACUCAACAAUAACCACAGCAAUGGUUUGGCACUUAGACCAACAAAAGAUUUUUUUACUGACGUUAUUGUUAUUUAGAUUUGCCAAGGCAUGGUGAUAAUAAAAGCAGAUCAAAUAGGAGUGGGUUUCAUGAUCACUUCUCAGCUCUCCCCAGGGAAUGCCUGCAGCUGGGCUGGAUGCCCCCACUGCCCUACUCUUGGCCCACCACUGCAUCUUGGUCACCACACACAUGGACUAUCUUCUGUACUUUAUAUGGAUUUUUUCUGCGUUGUCACUUCUGCUUUCUUGUAGUUUCUGUUUCCUCAUAACAGUAGCUCACAUGAGAUCCUUCCAGCUGUUCUCGCUGUCCUGUUCAACUCCACCGUUUCCUUUCUCAAUCUCCCAGAAAUACCUAGCUCAAAUCCCUACAACAGAGAUUCUUAUCUGACCAACUCAUCGUUUCUGGAGCAGACCAUGACACAGCUUUUGGCUAAUCUGUGCAUUGACACUAUUGGGUCAGGGACAUACUCUAGUAACUAGAAGAGAGUAGGGUCACCUGACUCAAAUCGUGGCUGCCUAGAAGGGGCUCUGGGUGGUGUAGAAUUGGGGGUUGGCAAAUGUAAUGCCAAGAAAGGUUAAAUGCACUUAGAAAUUCGUAAAGGCAAAAUAAGAAUUCUUUCAUAGUAUAGAGGAAGGAGCAUUGGAUGCAGAGUCAGGUGAAUCUGGGUUUAAAUCUCCUCUCUGGUGCUCAAGUCAAUAUUUUCUCAUCCUUAGUUUGCUUAGAGUGUAACAGGUAUAUUAUUUAGAAAGAGAAUACAAAUGAUAGAACUCUCAGUAACAGAAAUGGCUGAAACGAGUGAGAGCUUAUCCCUCUACCUCCAUAACAAGUCCAUCUGUGGGUGGCCGCUGGCACUGGUUCAAGGCCAGCUUCUCAAAGUCUCUUGGCUUUUCUCCUAUGCUUGUGGCAUCACAGUUGCAUGAUGGCUCUUGUAGCCAUAGAUCCUGCCCCUUUCAAGGUAGAGAGGAAGAGAAAGGGGUAAUAGCCCCAAGUUCAAGGCUCUUCUCGGGAAAAGCAAAAGGCUUCCCAGAACCCCCAACAGAUUUCCACCGAUGUCUCAUUGGCCAGGACAGUGUACACAGCCAUCCCUGGCCACGGGGUAGGCUAGGACAGGGGGUGUUUGGGUGGGGCUGGACACAUGGCUUCCCAGAACAGAACUGAGGCUCUGCUAGCAGAAACAAAGGAGAGGGAAUGGAUAUUAGGGAGGUGUGGGGUGGAGUGGUGUCACAAGGCAUCAAUUUUAUCUGAUCUGUUUCCUUCUAGGGGGGUAAUGAGGAUAAAACAUAUGUGAAAUGUGCAAUGGGGCCCUUUUCGAAAUGAAAACAUGCAACUGCCCUGCCUGAGCACUCUAUUUUAUAUGCCUGUUUUCUUAAAGACAGACCUUUUUUUCCCUACUUUACCUUGAGAACUACCAAACGAAACUGAAUAUGGCAUGACUCUGCCUACGCCCCAACCUCGUCUCUCCCUACCAUCCCCUCUGCUGCUCGCCACCUCCCUCUGACAGCAUCAACCUCCUUCCAAGGUCCGUGAGUUCACCAAGACUCCUCACCUGAGGGCCUUUGCUUUUGCAAUUUUCCUUGCUUGGAACAGACUUCCUUCUUUCUGCCACCUCUUCAGAGAAGUCCACUCUGAUUUCCAAACAAAGUGAAAAAUCCCCCUGCUGUUCCUUCUGAGCACCGAGCACACUCUUCAUUUCAGUAUAGUCUAUGAAUUUGCAUUUAUCUGUUUAAGAGGCAGCCUGGUGUAACAUCAAAGGGCAUGGGUUCUAGAGCCAGAGCAUCUGCAUUUAAGCCCUUCCUAGCUGUGUGGUCCUGGGCAGGUUAUUUUAAUGUCUUGGUGCCUCUGUUUCCUCAUCUGUCAAAUGGGGAUAUUAAUAUGUAGGAGUGGAAGAAAUUUUCCUCUACCCUUCUAGGUUCUUCUGGCUGGUCUAAGAAUUAAAUUCCCAUGCGAUAGAAUAACAGAAGAAAAUCAAACAAGUUUAAUAACAUGUAUCCAUGGGAGAAACCCAGGAAAACUGAGUAACUCACCAAAACGGCUGAAGCCACCACCUUAAAUACCAUCUUCAGCUAAAGACAAAGAAGGUUGUUGGGGGUAGUGGUUUGGGACUUCAAAGGGGAGGCAGGCAAUUCAUAUGGAGAUGGAAAAGCAAAUGUUUGAUAAACAAAUGUUUGCCAGGCCUUGCAAAGACAGUGAGACAUGGGGAGGACUUUGAUCAAAUGGGCCUUGCUCAGUUCCUCCCCAUCUACCACACCUAGUUCAUACUAUACUAUAGUUAUCUAUGGUGAUAGCUCCUUCCCAGAACAGGCCUUCUAUCUAAAAUUCUUUUAGACAGUUAGUGGGGAAGUCAAAGUUUCUUCCUGAGUCUUUUUUUCUUAAAAAUAAUCAAGCCAGGGGCCAGCCCAGUGGCAUAGUGGUUAAGUUCACACACUCCACUUUGGCGUUCCGGGGUUCAUAGGUUCGGAUCCCAGGCACAGACCUACACACCAGUCAUCAAGCCACACUGUGGCAGCGACCCACAUACAAAAUAGAGGAAGACUGGCACAGCUGUUAGCUCAGGGACAAUCUUCUUCAAGCAAAAAAAAAAAAAAAAAAUCAAGCCAAAGAGACACAUUUUGGAGUGGCAAAUUCUGCUUCCCUACAAAUAUUACCUACCUCAUGGGAUGGUGAGGAGGAUUAAAAGCGUUAAUAUUUGUAAGGUGCUUAGAACAGCGUGCUGUGCAUAGCAGGGACUAUGUGAGUGUUAAAUAAAUAAAAGAAAGGACGUAUGUUUCCUCCACCAUACUGUAUGCUCUAUGCAGAUGGUGACCAUAGCUGUUCUUACACUGCAGUGGCUAGCACAGUGCCAGAGCACGUCAUCAUUGUUGUUCUCAUUGCCGUUGUUUUUCACCUAGGGAGUAUUAAAUAUUUGUUCAAUGAAUGAAUACAUAAAUGAAUAACCAAGUGAUGUCCUGAAUGGGGGAGGGGAGGAGCAGAAUAACAUGGCCACCAAAACUAGCACAAUGUCACAGCAUAGGUUUCUGGGGUCUGUUAGAACUGAAUCCUCCAAGACAGAGUGUGGGACCUGCAUGGACUGUCCCCCAGAAUUGUCCUCCUCUUAUUUUCCAGCUAACAAACUCAGUUGCUAAAUUAUUUAAACAAGGAGACCACUAGACUGAGGUGGCUCUAACGCCAUGGCAGCCUACGUAAGCAAACCGAAACCUAAGCCUGUAAAUGCCUUAAAGUUAGGAAGUCAAACACUAAGGAUAAGCAAUCACCAACAGCCAACUGGGCUUUGAGCUGCAGCCAAUCAAAUAAUGACCUUUCUUUGCUUGGGCACUUUCUCUAUAUAAGUCUUUGCCUGGGAUCCUGUUGGUGGAGCACUCCUAACCACUUCUGGUUUGGCACUGCCCCACUAGAAUUGACUUUCACACAAACGAACUCUUACAGUUUUUGGUAUAACUCAGUUUAUCUUUUAUCCCAGGAAUUGCCUCCUCUGAGUACUGCUAGGUCUCAGGCCGCCCAGGAAAUAGAAAUGACCUCUGUGUGGACCAAGGUGCACUCUCCCGCCCAUCUGGAAGCCCACAGCAUUGAUUAGCUCUAGCUGCCAGACACACAAGGGAGGCCAUCUUGGACCAGCCCCAGUCAAACCACAGGAAGACUUCUGCCUCAUGGGUGACCCCAUGCAAGACCCCGGAGGAACUGCUGACCCCAGGAUCAUUAGCAAAUAAAAUAGUCAUUCUUUCAA